CGCAGGCCUGUAGCCUGUAUAGUUUGCCCUAUGCUUAAAUUGUAAAUGGCCGCGAAAGUGCUAAGGUAGCAAAAUCAAUAGCCUAUUAAUUGUAGCCUAGAAUGAAAAAUUAAACUACCCGGGGACUAGCUUUUUAAAAUAGAAAUUAAUUUUUUUGUGAAAAAGCUAAAGUGUGUUUUUUAGACGAGAAGACCCUAAAACUUUUAAAUAUUUAAUUGGGAUAAUUUUUUACUUAAAUAAACACGAGCUGCCCCACCAGGCAAGACCCUAAUAAGCUAAAUAAAAGUACUUUAGGGAUAACAGCACUAC
rnacentral:rRNA from 1 species